UACACUUGAACAGGUUUCUUCAAAAAAAGGUUUAUUUACGCACACACAACCAGUUAAGAAAAUGCAAAAUAAAAAUGUCAUACAGCAGUAACAGCAAGUUAGAACCUGAGAACUUUUACGUUUCGAACUACAUAAAACUUUUUCAUGUUGACAUGCUCAUUGAGCUGCCAGAAAUUCUUGCGCCAAAUAUUGCUACUGGCUAGAAGGAAUACUCUUCCCCCCUCCCAUUUUGAGUAUUACAAAAAUAGAAUUUAUUAUAUCGACAUCAUAAAAUUUAUAUACCACUUGUUCAUAAAAAAACACCCCAACCCAAGUGUUUUACUAACACUUUCGCUGCUUUGGAAGCACCACUAAAAAUGGAGGGGGGGUAUAGUAUCCUAAGACGUUGAGGAUCAAACUAACAUCCCUCCACCCUUACAAUCUAUUCACAAGGACAGAAAAAACAAAUUACUUUUCACAGUGCAAGGAAAACCCAAAGGGAGUGUUAAAACCUUUUUGUCACUGUAUUUUUUGAAUACUGACUGCACUCAUUUAGAAACCAAGCAGAAACGAAAAAGGAAAAGCAACAACAACAGCAUCCUCAUAUCUGUGCAAGGGUGGUCUCCUCAAUGUGAGAAUUCUGGAAGUUUCAGUUAAAGAUAUAUAUAUAUAUAUAUAUAUACGCCAACACGUUUCAAAGGCAUCUUUUGAUUUUUCCCCCCCAAAAAAGAAUUCACAAUGACACAGUCAUUACUAUCAUCUAAAUGUAGAUUUGCCUAAAUGCAAACAAACAAAAAUAUCAGUGCUCAAUGUCAAUCUCAAGAACAGCAGGGAGCUGAAAAGGAACCUGAAGAGCUAAUAUGGAGUAAAUUAAGGGUAGCUAUUUUGAGUCAGAGACAGUUCACAAAAAGAGUGACCAAUUUCUUUCAAUAGUCACGUGGUUACAUGUCGGGUUGUCAGCUAAUUAAGUAAAUCCUGGCCAAUUAAUUAACCAAGUUAACUCUAAUAUCCUAUUCAUACCUACAGUGGUACCUCAGGUUAAGAACUUAUUUCGUUCCGGAGGUCCUUUCUUAACCUGAAACUGUUCUUAACCUGAGGUACCAUUUAGCUUAUGGAGCCCCCCGCUGCUGCCGUGCCGCCAGCAUGCAAUUUCUGUUCUCAUCCUGAGGUAAAGCUCUUAACCUGAGGUACUACCUCCGGGUUAGCGGAGUCUGUAACCUGAAGUGUCUGUAACCCGAGGUGUCUGUAACACAAGGUACCACUGUAUUUUUAAGGACGUCCCAGUGAAUUAAAAGUGCCUUGCUCCAAACUAAGUGUGCAGAGAAGCGCAGCCUAAAUGUUCAACUCCAAUAAGAUUGCAAUAUCAGUUAACAGCCCUUACAUGGUAAAAGCACAUUACCCUGCCUUGGAAAAGGCUAGGAAUCGAGAGUAUUCGAAAGUUCAGUUGCCUGCAAUUCUUAUCAAAUGGGAGUCCUUGCUUUUGUAAAACCUGCUUAUCCGGUGACUGACGAUGGAAGAAACACCAGUGCGUAUGGGAUAAAGCGGCUGGACCCAUAAGGCAGAAGUACCCGUAGCACAAGUAGCGUAUCUGUACUGCAGAUGGGUUGCUGGGGUUUCAAUACACAGUCUAGCUUGGCAGCUAUCCACAACCCAUGGUAAAUGGCAUGCUGGGGCUGCGCCGCUUACCUGGCUGCCCUCUGGCACAGUUGGGCUACGUAUCGUGAUAGAGAGGGGGAGUGGCAAGGCAUUGUGAGGUCAGUACAGUGCAAACCUGCCAUCGAGCCAAUUCAGUGCUCCCGCUGCCGCAUUUGCACAAUGCUGACCUCCAGGACUCGGAAAUACCUUAUUUUCAACAUCACGAUAAAUCACCAGCUAAACAUUGUGAUAUAUCGAUAUAGCACUAUGUCUGAAAUAAGGCUGGAAGUAUGCAGAGGCGAACAGUAGAGCUGGGCGAUAUCUGGUUUUCAACAUCGCAUUAUAUCACCAGCUAAACAUUGUGAUAUACCAAUAUAUCACCAUGUCUGAAAUAAGGAUGGAGGCCAUUGGCUGGCUUAACGGUUUUUCCCAUACAGUGGUACCUCAGGUUAAGAACUUAAUUUGUUCUGUAGAUCCAUUCUUAACCUGAAACUGUUUUUAACCUGAGGUACCACUUUAGCUUAUGAGGCCUCCCGCUGCCGCCGCACCACCAGAGAACGAUUUCUGUUCUCAUCCUGAAGCAAAGUUCUUAAACUGAGGUACUAUUUCUGGGUUAGCGGAGUCUGUAACCUGAAGCGUCUGUAACCCGAGGUACCACUGUAUCAUGAUUUUUGCAUAGCUCGCGUGCGCGCACACACACACAAUUUGCAAUAUAUUGCCAGGUCAAAAAUUAUGAAACCAAUACAGUGGUGCCCCGCAAGACGAAUGCCUCGCAAGACGAAAAACUCACUAGACGAAAGAGUUUUCCGUUUUUUGAGUCGUUCUGCAAGACAAAUUUCCCUAUGGGCUUGCUUCGCAAGACGAAACGUCUUGCGAGUUCUUGCAAGUUUGUUUCCUUUUUCUUAAAGCCGCUAAGCCGUUAAUAGCCGCUAAGCCGCUAAGCCGUUAAUAGCCGCUAAUCCGCUAAGCCGCUAAUAGCCGUGCUUCGCAAGACGAAAAAACCGCAAGACGAAGAGACCCGCGGAACGGAUUAAUUUCGUCUUGCGAGGCACCACUGUAUCACAAUAUGGACUUCAAACUGGUUUGGGAUGAUAUACCGAUCGAUAUAUCGCCCAGCCCAACUGACCUCACUCCUCCCCUUUGCUACUGCUCAGAAUAUGUUUCUCCCCAUCCCACAAGAACUUUGGAACUGAAGGCUGUGUCAUAUGGGACACUUGACCAUCUUAUUAAAAAAAUAGAUGUGUUCUAUCACAAGUAUGGGUGCACAGGUCCAAGAUCAAAUUUGUUCAGGUGCAGAGGUGGCCUCAGUGAAAGGGAAGGAAGAGUCCCAUCUUUCCUGCGUUGCUUCCAUGUAUGUCCUAAUUUGCCUCUGGCCCCUGCUGCAGUUGAUGAGAUUCCAGCUAUAUGGCAGAUUGACAUAGGUAGCACAUCUAACAGCCCUAAGUUUCUUUUGGGCCAGAGAUGAAUCCACACCUUGAAGAGCUUAGUCAAAGUACCUUUGCCAACACAAUGGCUUUUGAAUGAAGAGACCAUAUGGGCAGCAAGUCAAGAAGACGUUGAUUUCAGCAGUAACAUUUGAAAGGGUUGUGGAAACAAGAUUUCCACGCGGCAUGCUUCUCGUCCGAAAAAGAACUCUGCAUCGCUCCAGAGCGCUAGUUUUUCCACAAAACGAAACGCACGCCCCUCUUUUUUCAGAAAACACACAGGUCCAAGUUGCAUUAAAAAGAGAGGGGGAAAGGAACGUCAAAUGUUCCUUCUUAACAAAUGAAAGCAUUGCAUUUCCAAUCCCACGAAAGAGAGGCAAGGCAGAGC